AGUGAACGCUGGCGGUAGGCCUAACACAUGCAAGUCGAACGGCAGCACAGUAAGAGCUUGCUCUUACGGGUGGCGAGUGGCGGACGGGUGCGGAAUACAUCGGAAUCUACUUUUUCGUGGGGGAUAACGUAGGGAAACUUACGCUAAUACCGCAUACGACCUACGGGUGAAAGCAGGGGAUCUUCGGACCUUGCGCGAUUGAAUGAGCCGAUGUCGGAUUAGCUAGUUGGCGGGGUAAAGGCCCACCAAGGCGACGAUCCGUAGCUGGUCUGAGAGGAUGAACAGCCACACUGGAACUGAGACAGGGUCCAGACUCCUACGGGAGGCAGCAGUGGGGAAUAUUGGACGAUGGGCGAAAGGCUGAUCCAGCCAUACCGCGUGGGUGAAGAAGGCCUUCGGGUUCGAAAGCCCUUUUGUUGGGAAAGAAAAGCAGCAGGUUAAUACCCCGCUGUUCUGACGGUACCCAAAGAAUAAGCACCGGCUAACUUCGUG
rnacentral:rRNA from 1 species